AAAACAUCGCACAUACACAACAAAGAAUUCAUCAUUGAUGACGAUUUCAACGACGAAAUAUUCGUUUUAGAAACAAACACAAGCUUGCUGUUUUUAACAACCAUUCUGAAAAAAGUAUGGCCACCAGUAAUCAAAUUCCGGGCAAUCGUUACUGCUGAAGAAACCCCAGCCUGCCUUUCAAUCGAUUCUCUCAGACAAUCUAUAAGAACUAAAAGACGGAUAGAAAUUUGCAAUGAGCCAACCAUGAUCCUUACGUCUCUUUCGGCUUUGAAUCUUUGUCAACAUUGUGAAGAAGUGUUCAUAAUUCGAGCCGGGGAACAUCAAAGCAUUGAUUUAACCUUCAUAUAUAUUGAACCAUUUUGUUCAGAUGUAAAAGAUUAUUCAUUAAACCUCGCCAUCACGGAUGUUGAUAAUAUGAUCCAAAUUAAUUGUGAUAAUGAAGAGAAUUACAAGAAAUACAAAUCAAAAUGGACUGAGAUUGGUAUUCAAAUGCAAAAUAAUAGGAUCUCUUACGGAUUUAGGAUACAUUAUAAAAUGUCGAACCAUUCUCUUCAAAGAUAUUCUACAUACUCGUACACUUUUGUGGGUGAGGAUAAUUAU